rnacentral:rRNA from 1 species
AGUGAACGCUGGCGGUAGGCCUAACACAUGCAAGUCGAACGGCAGCACAGUAAGAGCUUGCUCUUACGGGUGGCGAGUGGCGGACGGGUGAGGAAUACAUCGGAAUCUACUUUUUCGUGGGGGAUAACGUAGGGAAACUUACGCUAAUACCGCAUACGACCUACGGGUGAAAGCAGGGGAUCUUCGGACCUUGCGCGAUUGAAUGAGCCGAUGUCGGAUUAGCUAGUUGGCGGGUUAAAGGCCCACCAAGGCGACGAUCCGUAGCUGGUCUGAGAGGAUGAUCAGCCACACUGGAACUGAGACACGGUCCAGACUCCUACGGGAGGCAGCAGUGUGGAAUAUUGGACAAUGGGCGCAAGCCUGAUCCAGCCAUACCGCGUGGGUGAAGAAGGCCUUCGGGUUGUAAAGCCCUUUUGUUGGGAAAGAAAAGCAGCAGGUUAAUACCCCGCUGUUCUGACGGUACCCAAAGAAUAAGCACCGGCUAACUUCGUG